UGGGGAAUAUUGCACAAUGGGGGAAACCCUGAUGCAGCGACGCCGCGUGAGCGAAGAAGGUUUUCGAAUCGUAAAGCUCUGUCCUAUGAGAAGAUAAUGACGGUAUCAUAGGAGGAAGCCCCGGCUAAACACGUGCCAGCAGCCGCGGAAAUAUGUAUGGGGCGAGCGUUGUCCGGAAUUAUUGGGGGUAAAGGGUACGUAGGCGGUCUAUUAAGUCAUGUGUGAAAGCGUGUGGCUUAACCUCAUUAAGCACUUGAAACUGAUAUACUAGUGGGAAGGAGAGGAAAGUAGAAUACCUAGCGUAGCGGUGAUAUGCCUAGAUAUUAGGAGGAAUACCGGUGGCGAAGGCGACUUUCUGGACUUUUACUGACGCUCAGGUACGAAAGCGUGGAGAGCAAGCAGG
rnacentral:rRNA from 1 species